rnacentral:rRNA from 1 species
UACGUAGGGGGCAAGCGUUGUCCGGAUUUAUUGGGCGUAAAGAGCGUGUAGGCGGCCAACUAAGUCGGAUGUGAAAUCCCCAGGCUUAACCUGGGAACUGCAUCCGAUACUGGAUGGCUUGAAUCCGGGAGAGGGAUGCGGAAUUCCAGGUGUAGCGGUGAAAUGCGUAGAUAUCUGGAGGAACACCGGUGGCGAAGGCGGCAUCCUGGACCGGCAUUGACGCUGAGGAGCGAAAGCCAGGGGAGCAAACGGG